ACUACCUCCAUCCCAGAAUGGCCGCAUUUUUGUACAGUUUAUGUAUUUAAAAAUUUUUAUGAUUAGUAUUUUUAUGUUAUUAGAGGAUAAAACAUGAAUAGUACUUUAUAUGUGACUAAUAUUUUUAAAAAAAUAUAUUAUAUUAAAAAAUAAGACGGACGGUCAAACAUUGGACACGGAAAUCCACAACUGCACAUAAA
rnacentral:pre_miRNA from 1 species